rnacentral:rRNA from 1 species
AUUGAACGCUGGCGGCAUGCCUUACACAUGCAAGUCGAACGGUAACAGGUCUUCGGACGCUGACGAGUGGCGAACGGGUGAGUAAUACAUCGGAACGUGCCCAGUCGUGGGGGAUAACUACUCGAAAGAGUAGCUAAUACCGCAUACGAUCUGAGGAUGAAAGCGGGGGACCUUCGGGCCUCGCGCGAUUGGAGCGGCCGAUGGCAGAUUAGGUAGUUGGUGGGAUAAAAGCUUACCAAGCCGACGAUCUGUAGCUGGUCUGAGAGGACGACCAGCCACACUGGGACUGAGACACGGCCCAGACUCCUACGGGAGGCAGCAGUGGGGAAUUUUGGACAAUGGGCGAAAGCCUGAUCCAGCAAUGCCGCGUGCAGGAUGAAGGCCUUCGGGUUGUAAACUGCUUUUGUACGGAACGAAAAAGCUUCUCCUAAUACGAGAGGCCCAUGACGGUACCGUAAGAAUAAGCACCGGCUAACUACGUGCCAGCAGCCGCGGCAAUACGUAGGGUGCGAGCGUUAAUCGGAAUUACUGGGCGUAAAGCGUGCGCAGGCGGUUAUGUAAGACAGAUGUGAAAUCCCCGGGCUCAACCUGGGAACUGCAUUUGUGACUGCAUGGCUAGAGUACGGUAGAGGGGGAUGGAAUUCCGCGUGUAGCAGUGAAAUGCGUAGAUAUGCGGAGGAACACCGAUGGCGAAGGCAAUCCCCUGGACCUGUACUGACGCUCAUGCACGAAAGCGUGGGGAGCAAACAGG